rnacentral:rRNA from 1 species
AGCGAACGCUGGCGGCAGGCCUAACACAUGCAAGUCGAACGAACCUUUCGGGGUUAGUGGCGGACGGGUGAGUAACACGUGGGAACGUGCCUUUAGGUUCGGAAUAACUCAGGGAAACUUGUGCUAAUACCGAAUGUGCCCUUCGGGGGAAAGAUUAAUCGCCUUUAGAGCGGCCCGCGUCUGAUUAGCUAGUUGGUUGAGGUAAUGGCUCACCAAGGCGACGAUCAGUAGCUGGUCUGAGAGGAUGAUCAGCCACAUUGGGACUGAGACACGGCCCAAACUCCUACGGGAGGCAGCAGUGGGGAAUCGUGCGCAAUGGGCGAAAGCCUGACGCAGCCAUGCCGCGUGAAUGAUGAAGGUCUUAGGAUUGUAAAAUUCUUUCAACGGGGACGAUAAUGACGGUACCCGGAGAAGAAGCCCCGGCUAACUUCGUG